UACAGAGGUCCCAAGCGUUGUUCGGAUUCACUGGGCGUAAAGGGUGCGUAGGUGGCGUGGUAAGUUUGAUGUGAAAGCUCAGGGCUUAACCCUAAAAUGGCAUUGAAUACUACUGUGCUGGAGGUUUGGAGGGGGGACUGGAAUUCUUGGUGUAGCAGUGAAAUGCGUAGAUAUCAAGAGGAACACCAGUGGCGAAGGCGAGUCCCUGGACAACACCUGACACUGAGGCACGAAAGCUAGGGGAGCAAACAGG
rnacentral:rRNA from 1 species